rnacentral:lncRNA from 1 species
AAAACUAUAAGCUAGAAAUCCAGUAAUCACCGUAUUGACCAACUGAAUUUGACCCAUCAUGCUAAGAGAUUUACCUUUCCAAAAUGCUAUCUUUAAUUUGAAUUUAUCAACCAAAGGUUGAAGAAAUCGAAACUUUGGAGCACCAACAAAGAUAGGCACUCCUAAAUAAUUGAAAGGCAAUCAACCAUGACUACAAGAAAGAAUACAUUGAUAUUUGGUGACAAAUCUUGCAGAAUUAUCC